GUUCUCGGGGAACAAAAGAGGCCGUUGGUCAGUCUUUGGGGACUAGCUGUUCGUUUCCCUACUACUUGGAAGAGGCUUCUUUUGAAGUCUCGAACGCUCCACCUGUUUUCUACGAAGCGCCGCUUCCGUUCUGUCCGGUUCUCGUGCGCCUCUCCGGCUUCGUCCCCCUGUGCAGCGCGUGUGUCGGCGUGCCAGUAAUAAUUCGGUGGAGGGUUAGGUGAGGUGCCGCUACUUCUGGCUUAGGGGCGCGGUAGAGGCAUUGGGAGACGAGCGGGAGGAGAAGGAGCGUCGUCGUCGUCGCAGCCGUCGGGUCUAGCGGUACCGCCGGCUCGGCCUCGUCGUCCGCGGGCGCCGCGUCCUCCGCCGGCACGUGUAGCACAUGCAGCUGGCGGGGCUCCUGCGGCUGGGGCUCCUCAAGGUGUAGGCGUGGGAGCGGGGGCAGGAGCCGUCGCUCCUCUUCCGGUCCCCGCGGCAGGAGAUGGUGAUGUUCGUGCGGCGGUCGCCUAAGAGGCGUUUCGAGUGGUGGCUCGUCCAGCUCCUGGAGUUCUUCGUUGGUCCACAGGAAGUCCAACACGGCUCGGUCUGGAUGGUCGAGGUACCUGUACUCCCACCUGUACGGUCGUGUUGCGCGUGUUACCCGGAAUACACUUUCGGAACUCAUCCGAGACAAGAAGAUUAUACCCUUACCAACGUAGAGUACCGACAUUGGAUUCUUAUUCUCUACAUAGGUGAACUGAAACUUCCCUAGGUCAAGGACUUCACACAUUUACAUUACUUGAUUACGUAUGUUCAAACUCAAUUAUACUACCGUUUGUUUACACGACUAGAUUAGAACGAACCCAUGUUCAAACUUAAUUACACUAUCGUUUGACUACACGAGCAGUAGACCGACCCAACGAGCACAUCAAAACCGAGUACUCAACAAAUACCUAGAGUGGCUUACGUGGGACGAUAAAACAUGGUAACGUACUUUUAAAACCGAUCUUCUACUUAACAACAGCG
rnacentral:rRNA from 1 species